GACAGAGGCCUCAAGCGUUAGGCGGAAUCACUGGGCUUAAAGCGUGUGUAGGCGGAUCGUUAAGUGUCUUGUGAAAUCCCACGGCUCACCCGUGGAACGGCUGGGCAUACUGGCGAUCUUGGGCCAACUAGGGGCAACUGGAACAAGCGGUGGAGCGGUGAAAUGCGUAGAUAUCGUCUGGAACGCCAAAGGUGAAAACAGACUGCUGGGAGUGCGCUGACGCUGAGACACGAAAGCCAGGGGAGCGAACGGG
rnacentral:rRNA from 1 species